GACGAACGCUGGCGGCGUGCUUAACACAUGCAAGUCGAACGGAAAGGCCCUGCUUUUGUGGGGUGCUCGAGUGGCGAACGGGUGAGUAACACGUGAGUAACCUGCCCUUGACUUUGGGAUAACUUCAGGAAACUGGGGCUAAUACCGGAUAGGAGCUCCUGCUGCAUGGUGGGGGUUGGAAAGUUUCGGCGGUUGGGGAUGGACUCGCGGCUUAUCAGCUUGUUGGUGGGGUAGUGGCUUACCAAGGCUUUGACGGGUAGCCGGCCUGAGAGGGUGACCGGCCACAUUGGGACUGAGAUACGGCCCAGACUCCUACGGGAGGCAGCAGUGGGGAAUAUUGCACAAUGGGCGGAAGCCUGAUGCAGCAACGCCGCGUGCGGGAUGACUGCCUUCGGGUUGUAAACUGCUUUCGCCUGUGACGAAGCGUGAGUGACGGUAAUGGGUAAAGAAGCACCGGCUAACUACGUG
rnacentral:rRNA from 1 species